rnacentral:rRNA from 1 species
GAUGAACGCUGGCGGCGUGCCUAAUACAUGCAAGUCGAGCGAACAGACGAGGAGCUUGCUCCUCUGACGUUAGCGGCGGACGGGUGAGUAACACGUGGAUAACCUACCUAUAAGACUGGGAUAACUUCGGGAAACCGGAGCUAAUCCCGGAUAAUAUAUUGAACCGCAUGGUUCAAUAGUGAAAGACGGUUUUGCUGUCACUUAUAGAUGGAUCCGCGCCGCAUUAGCUAGUUGGUAAGGUAACGUCUUACCAAGGCAACGAUGCGUAGCCGACCUGUGAGGGUGAUCGGCCACACUGGAAGUGAGACACGGUCCAGGCUCCUGCGGGAGGCAGCAGUAGGGAAUCUGCCGCAAUGGGCGAAAGCCUGACGGAACAACGCCGCGUGAGUGAUGAAGGUCUUCGGAUCGUAAAACUCUGUUAUUAGGGAAGAACAAAUGUGUAAGUAACUAUGCACGUCUUGACGGUACCUAAUCAGAAAGCCACGGCUAACUACGUG